UACGAAGGGGGCUAGCGUUGUUCGGAUUUACUGGGCGUAAAGCGCACGUAGGCGGAUCGUUAAGUCGGGGGUGAAAUCCUGGAGCUCAACUCCAGAACUGCCUUCGAUACUGGCGAUCUUGAGUCCGGAAGAGGUGAGUGGAACUCCUAGUGUAGAGGUGGAAUUCGUAGAUAUCAUUUGGAACGCCAAUGGUGAAAACAGGUAGCUGGGGCUGUGCUGACACUGAGACACGAAAGCCAGGGGAGCAAACGGG
rnacentral:rRNA from 1 species